GAGCAACUUAGAGGAGACCCUAUCUGCAAAAACAAACAGAAGCAACUGAUGUGCUUUGCUCAUGCAGGGAGCACCUUAGGCAUUGGAGGCUUGCUUACAUAAGGGUGUCCCUUUUCUCUCCAGUAGAAGAACAGCUAUACCCUGCAGCUUAUAUCCAGCCUUGCCCUGGAUGAGAGCUGUCUAUCCUUAUCACUGGAUUGGUCCACUGGGAAAUCUGUAAGGGCCAGAGAGCAGCCGUUGAAGAUCAUUAGCAGUGACUCUAAGGGGCAGCUGCACCUCCUGCUGCUGAGUGAGGGCGCAGCUCAACUACAGCUGCUGGCUUCUUGGCCAGCCCAUCACUUUGAGGCCUGGAUCGCUGCUUUCAAUUACU
rnacentral:lncRNA from 1 species